UAGAAAAGAUAUCAACAUCCACAAGAACCACUCCGUACUAGAAGUAGAGCAAAGGAACAAACCUUCUCUCGAAAUCGGCCUCGCAUCAUGAGAGAUGGUAAGAGGAAUAGAUAGAUUUAACCCCGAGACUUACUUACAGUGAACAUUUAAAGCACGGUGAAAAUUAAUAAAUUUACAGUCACAAAGUAAAUAUCAUUUUAUUGAAGAAUAAAUGAUUGAAAGUUGAGAGACGGUUUAUUUGCUACAAUCAUGAGAGAUGGUACGUAGGAGGAAUAGAUAGAUUUAACCCAAAAAAAUAAUUUCAACUUACAAAUCACUGAUUCAACUUACAUCGCAGAGUUAAAAAAAUGGUUCGUUUCCUGAAUUCCAGAGAGCAAAUAAAAUCGCAGAUCUAAAACAUAGAAGCGGGAAGAAACAAAUAUUUAGUAGCAGCUAGCUUGAUGGUGGUGAGAACUGGUAUGUUUUGAAGAGAAAUGAUAGAAUUUUGUUAAAGAAAACCUGUGAACAAACAGCAGAUUCCAGAUGGGUUUCCGAAUAUAGCACCAGACCGGAAAGAGGAAGAAGAAGAGAGCAGCUUCCAGAUGGGUUUUAUUCAUUUUGAAUAUAUACAGA
rnacentral:lncRNA from 1 species